rnacentral:rRNA from 1 species
UACGUAGGGUGCAAGCGUUGUCCGGAAUUAUUGGGCGUAAAGAGCUCGUAGGCGGUUUGUCGCGUCGGCUGUGAAAACCUGGGGCUCAACCCCGGGCCUGCAGCCGAUACGGGCAAACUAGAAUUCGGUAGGGGAGACUGGAAUUCCUGGUGUAGCGGUGAAAUGCGCAGAUAUCAGGAGGAACACCGAUGGCGAAGGCAGGUCUCUGGGCCAUAACUGACGCUGAGAAGCGAAAGCAUGGGGAGCGAACAGG